GCGUACCUUUUGUAUAAUGGGUCAGCGACUUAUAUUCUGUAGCAAGGUUAACCGAAUAGGGGAGCCGGAGGGAAACCGAGUCUUAACCGGGCGUUAAGUUGCAGGGUAUAGACCCGAAACCCGGUGAUCUAGCCAUGGGCAGGUUGAAGGUUGGGUAACACUAACUGGAGGACCGAACCGACUAAUGUUGAAAAAUUAGCGGAUGACCUGUGGCUGGGGGUGAAAGGCCAAUCAAACCGGGAGAUAGCUGGUUCUCCCCGAAAGCUAUUUAGGUAGCGCCUCGUGAAUUCAUCUCCGGGGGUAGAGCACUGUUUCGGCUAGGGGGCCAUCCCGGCUUACCAACCCGAUGCAAACUGCGAAUACCGGAGAAUGUUAUCACGGGAGACACACGGCGGGUGCUAACGUCCGUCGUGAAGAGGGAAACAACCCAGACCGCCAGCUAAGGUCCCAAAGUCAUGGUUAAGUGGGAAACGAUGUGGGAAGGCCCAGACAGCCAGGAUGUUGGCUUAGAAGCAGCCAUCAUUUAAAGAAAGCGUAAUAGCUCACUGGUCGAGUCGGCCUGCGCGGAAGAUGUAACGGGGCUAAACCAUGCACCGAAGCUGCGGCAGCGACACUGUGUGUUGUUGGGUAGGGGAGCGUUCUGUAAGCCUGUGAAGGUGUGUCGUGAGGC
rnacentral:rRNA from 1 species